GACCAUACAAAUUGUGUAGAAAUAUAGUCUAAUUAUAUGUUAUUUAUUAUGUGUGUAACUAAAAUAAACACAGUACAUACGCCAAGUCAGCCCUUCAUCACCAUUGACAGCAGCCAACUUCACUCUUGCAUUGCGCACACCUCGGCGCACACACACACCAACGUCGUCACACCAGAGCUUCCGGUAAAACUGCAGUCGAUAGAAGCACGAGUAAAAAGCUAAAUUUGUUUAACAUAAAGAACAAUUAAAACCAGCUUCAGAUUACUAGAACCCACUCUUUAGAAUCGCAUGCAAAGGGAGCCGGAAUAAGCUGCAUGCUGAAAUCGUGUAAGUAAAGUGGAUAAUCUUCACUCGCCUAGAUAAUUCACGUUGAUGCUCCCGUGUAGGUUAGGGCAAAUUGCCUGUCACCGUGUUAGCAGGCGUCCGAAGGAGAAUCAAGCACCAGCCACUGAAACAGACCACACAAAACAGCAGCGGAAGAAUAGGUAACAUCCAAUGAUUCGCCCACUUGGUAUGAAACUACAUCCUGAAACGUUUUAGAUCUACCCCCCGAUCGGCACGAGUCGCACAGCACACGAGACGUCCGGGAAGCUUAUUGUACGGUACCUCUUCCCAGCAAAGUUGCUCUCAUUGACCAUUUUCACGCUCCCAGUAUCCGGUUCAAGAACGCACAUCACCAGUUCCUCCUGAGCCACAGAUAUCGGUCGAAAACCCCAAGAAAGUCGGAAUCCGGUCUGGUACUACUGACCGAACACAGGAAGUUACGCCCGUGAGAAGACGAGCCUUCAAACGAAGGCUCGUUAUAUGGGAGUUACUUCCGUCCGGAUUUCCAUCGCAACGGGUUGAUCCGCGAGUGAAUGGGCCAGCCAAGCUUCACCUUUACAUCUCAGUGACUCGGUGACGAAGUGUGCGAAACGUCGAGGGGCCGCUGGACGAAGGUGGUGAGAGCUCAAGUAGAACCAGCAGGUUUCGACUUUACCGCUCAGUAAUAACUGCGUCGGCGAUUCAAUCGGCAGGGGCGACCUUGCACACACUCAACGGGUGAGCAGCACGACAUUCGUCUCGGUGGCGAGUCCUUCGGCCGUCGCUAACGUAUCUGCCACGGGAAGAAGGACGGGUGUGUGCGCAGAAAGUGCAUGCAAAUGUGUGUCAGUGGUUUAGUGAUGACUCGGGCAAUUUCGGGCUAGCGCCCGUGAACCUUGCCAGGUGUCUUCGAAGCAUCGUUCCAGGACGGGGCCCCGUCGACGGCAGCGGCAGAACUUCAGUUGCAGCAUAAGGUUAGAUAGUAUAAGCUAGGAUUAAGAGAAUGCCCAAUUAUAGUAUCAUGUCACUACGAAUUCCUAUCGGUCACUUCCGUAUCCCUAUGUAAUACCUUCUACAUUGAUAGUAUUGACUGAGCAGUCGACCUCAUAAACUUGAUAUCAUCCUAGCCGGUGCAAACUAAGAAUGAUUGAGGUAUUGCCCACUCAAUGCAUUAGAAUAAAUUGCCUUACUAUGAAAUGAAAUCAUAGACUAUUUCCUUACCUUUAAUGGAUAAUAGAGCUAGCAUGUUAGGACAGAAGAAGUAAUAUC